AAGAAAAGCAAAACUAUGAAAAUAAAACCACCUAGGACUUCUGUUUCUGAUCAAGAUGAAGUAAGAUGAGCAGUAUUUACUCUUCUGUCUCAAACAACUAAAAAGAUAAUGGACAAAAUACAGAAAAAACCAGACACUCAAGAUAUUGGACAUCAGGCAAAGAACAGUAACUUCUGAUUAUUAGAAAACAAAUGAGAUUCAGGGAGUGCAUGUGCUGGUUUGUUGCAAGGGUAUGCUGCAUGAUGCUGAGGUUUGGGCUUCUAUUGAUCCCAUCACCCAGAGAGUGAACAUACUGUAUUGGGGUGAUAUUUACUUUUCUUAGCAGUUCCCAGAAAAUUGGAGCAAGUGUGGAGGACGGGGGCAGUUAGAUUCAUCAUGAAAAAAGAUUUUGUUUUUUGGAUCCCUUUGCAAACAACAGAACAAGGACAUGGAGAACGCUGGCAAGCAUGAUGGACAAGAAAGAAAGAAGUGAAGAUGAAAGGGAAUGAAUAGCAGUCCUAUAAGGGGAGGGAGGAGAACCUGGACAAAAAAAAAAAAAGGAAGUUGCUGAGAAGUCCAGAGAAAUCCAGGAUUAUGGACUACAAAUCUGACCUAAGAUUUAGAAGCCUUCAGAAUCAAGGAAUUAGAAAACGAAUUAUAAAUAGACUUGAAUUAGUCUGCAUUCUGUGGCAAACUCAUUUAUAUGUUUUCCAGAAGCUAUGAUCAGCAUCAACACUGAAAUGUCUCUGAAACCAAUUUUACUGUACUUACAUACCUGAGAAAAUAUUUUUAAAAGAUGUUGGCUUUGACCCGUAUUUUCAACAUGAUGGCUGAUUCCUGUGCUUCUCCUAUGCAUAUUCCUUUUUCAUCUCCACGACUUUGAGGAAUUCUUGGACCAAGUAUGUGGAUUCUCACUGCUCCCUCCCACUAAACCUGGAUAUUUGGGGUGGCAUAAGGGCUCGAAACUGUAGAACUUAAGAAGCUAUGGAUGCGCUACCUGUCCAGGGGCCACAGUUGAAGCACUGUCAUGAAGGGCUGAGGGGAUCAAGAGCAGAGAUUAAGGCAAAGUGAACAGGAAUGUUAAAACAGGAUGGAUGUUGGAUGCCCCUUGGGGCAAAGGGAAGAGAGAUCUGUCUGGCUAAAGCGCUAGGGGAGGUGGAAGAACAGGUUGAUCAGGCUCAGCUGAAAGGAGCCAGUAGUUAACAUGGUCCUUCACAUUUCUGGAAGGAAACAGGCCUUGAGGGAAUCCAUCUGUUCUCACACAGGGAGUGGAGAUAACUGAGAGACUGAAGACCUUGGGGGAUUCAAUGAGGCUUAAUUACACCCUUUGGUGUAAGGAUGGGAAGGCUCCCAGAUGUUUAAAAUUCUUUUUACAGAAAACAAAACAUUUACUUUAAAGAAAUAAAGGACUUAAAUUGUAAAUGCAUGAGUGAAACUCAUUCACACUUAAGUGUAAUGCAUGAGUGAACCUCAUUCACAAUUAAAUGUAGUCAAGAAAUCAAUAAACCAGAGAACUAUCAGAUCCUCUGGGAUGCAGGGGUAGAGAGCAGGAGUCUCGGUUUAUGAGAUAGAGGGGUUAGAAGGCUUGGGUAAAUGCAAAGAAAGGGAGCCAGGAAAUUAGGAAGGCAAAUUUCACCUACUUGGCAAAUUUUACUAGUGAUUCAUGAUGCGUAUCCAUCUGUCUCCUCCACUGGUUUGUGAACUCCUUGAGCCAAUUACUAUGCAACACCUAGCGUGGUGCCUGCCUGGUGCAAAUGGUAAGCACUAAAUCAUUCUUGCUUAAUCUGAACUUUAGUUUCAUACUGGUGGACAACAAUUCUGUGCAAAUGCAUUUUUGUGUUUCCUGUCCAUCCAAGCAGACAUAUUAUUGGAACCCUAGUCCUCUUGGGGUUUUGGAGUGUCAGAACUGCCUUUCCAGGCCCAUCUGUGUCCACACAGCCAAGAAACAAAGCUGUUAUCCACUCAGCUCAGCAUUUGCACACAAGGGAAAAUAAUUUUUAAAAAUGCAUGCUCAAAAUUUUCUUAAUACCAAAACUAUGAGGCCAGAACUUUUUGGUUAUUUUUGUUACUCAAAGUACAUUUCAGGACCUUGUAACAUUUCGGGUUUAUGACAUCAGUUUUGACUUUCUGAUUAUUUUAGAAUGGAUUUUCAUAGUGUAAAAUGAGGGGGAUCACAUGGGACUAGCACAGUGCCUGGUAAAUAGCCAGUGCUCAAUACAUUUUUGUUGAAUAAACAAAUGAAUAAAUGAAUGAUCAAAUGAGGUGAUCCUCCAAAUUCAAAAUAACAGAGCGAAAAUGAGAAAAAAA
rnacentral:lncRNA from 10 species